rnacentral:rRNA from 1 species
CUACGGGGGGCUGCAGUGGGGAAUCUUGGACAAUGGGCGCAAGCCUGAUCCAGCCAUGCCGCGUGAGUGAAGAAGGCCUUAGGGUCGUAAAGCUCUUUCGCCAGAGAUGAUAAUGACAGUAUCUGGUAAAGAAACCCCGGCGUAACUCCGUGCCAGCAGCCGCGGUAAUACGGAGGGGGUUAGCGUUGUUCGGAAUUACUGGGCGUAAAGCGCGCGUAGGCGGAUUAGUCAGUCAGAGGUGAAAUCCCAGGGCUCAACCCUGGAACUGCCUUUGAUACUGCUAGUCUUGAGUUCGAGAGAGGUGAGUGGAAUUCCGAGUGUAGAGGUGAAAUUCGUAGAUAUUCGGAGGAACACCAGUGGCGAAGGCGGCUCACUGGCUCGAUACUGACGCUGAGGUGCGAAAGUGUGGGGAGCAAACAGGAUUAGAUACCCUCGUAGUC